AAGUCGUAACAAGGUUUCCGUAGGUGAACCUGCGGAAGGAUCAUCAAUAAAUGAUAUACACUGUAUUGCUGACUGUAGGACCAGGAGUGUGUGGGACUUUGGUUUCGCACACCCCACUUUGAUUCACUAUAUUAUUACGUAUUCUCGUAUUCACUAUAUAACAGAAACAACUAACAAAAUACAACUUUCAACAAUGGAUCUCUAGGCUCUU
rnacentral:misc_RNA from 1 species